rnacentral:rRNA from 1 species
UACGAAGGGGGCAAGCGUUGUUCGGAAUUACUGGGCGUAAAGCGCACGUAGGCGGAUAUUUAAGUCAGGGGUGAAAUCCCAGAGCUCAACUCUGGAACUGCCUUUGAUACUGGGUAUCUUGAGUAUGGAAGAGGUGAGUGGAAUUCCGAGUGUAGAGGUGAAAUUCGUAGAUAUUCGGAGGAACACCAGUGGCGAAGGCGGCUCACUGGACCGGUACUGACGCUGAUGCGCGAAAGCGUGGGGAGCAAACGGG